AAUUUACCUUAAAUAAUUGUAUCUCAAUCUCUAAAUUGAACUUUAAUCACAUACAGGAGGCUCUUGCAGGGUCUAGCAAGCUAUGAACAUAGCAGGGGAUAAGACAAUCUUAAUUACACAGAACUUGGAAUAAAAAAAGCCUAAAUAGGGCUCUGUUUACAGGAAGUGUUUAUGGAAGGCUGUGCAAGUCACAUGCAAGGAGGUGUGACUAGGGUUCAUAAACAAAGGGAUUUAACUCCUAAAUGGCAGAGGAUUGAGCAGUGAGGCUGCAGGGGCAUGUUCUAUACACCAAAACUGCUUCAUUAAGCUAAAGUUGUUCGAGUGACUAUAGUGUCCCUUUAAUACUAUGAAUAUAAUUAGGAUUAUUGAUAAAACAAGAACGGUUAAGAUUCACUGCUAGUAAGUAGUGAUGGUAGUGAACAGGACUGUAGAAGAAUGAAAG